UACGAACCGUCCAAACGUUAUUCGGAUUUAUUGGGCUUAAAGGGUACGUAGGCGGCGCUAUCAGUCGGGUGUGAAAUCCCUCGGCUCAACCGAGGAACUGCGCCCGAUACUGUAGUGCUUGAGGGAGACAGAGGUAAGCGGAACUGAUGGUGGAGCGGUGAAAUGCGUUGAUAUCAUCAGGAACACCGGUGGCGAAAGCGGCUUACUGGGUCGAGACUGACGCUGAGGCGCGAAAGCGUGGGGAGCAAACAGG
rnacentral:rRNA from 1 species